GUUGUGGUUCAGUGGUAGAAUGCUUGCCUAGCACAUGUGAAUCACUGGGUUCGAUCCUCAGCAUAAAACA
rnacentral:tRNA from 1 species